rnacentral:rRNA from 1 species
AGCGAACGCUGGCGGCAGGCCUAAUACAUGCAAGUCGAACGAAGCCUUCGGGCUUAGUGGCGGACGGGUGAGUAACACGUGGGAACGUACCCUUUGGUUCGGAACAACUCAGGGAAACUUGAGCUAAUACCGAAUGUGCCCCCAUCCUUAACAAGAUGGGUGGGAAAGAUUUAUCGCCAUUGGAGCGGCCCGCGUCUGAUUAGCUAGUUGGUGAGGUAAAGGCCCACCAAGGCUACGAUCAGUAGCUGGUCUGAGAGGAUGAUCAGCCACACUGGGACUGAGACACGGCCCAGACUCCUAC